UCUAAGACCAGCUUGGGAUUCGAACCCACGCCUGGCCGGUAAGUUAGUCCGAGUUCUCUAUAGGCCAUGCGCCUUAGACGACUCGGCUAACGUCACCGGUUAAUAUUAAAUAUUUUUUAA
rnacentral:lncRNA from 1 species